GACGAACGCUGGCGGCGUGCCUAAUACAUGCAAGUCGAGCGGUCGUUUUUGAAGCUUGCUUCAAAAACGUUAGCGGCGGACGGGUGAGUAACACGUGGGCAACCUACCUUAUCGACUGGGAUAACUCCGGGAAACCGGGGCUAAUACCGGAUAACAUCUAGCACCUCCUGGUGCCGGAUUAAAAGAGGGCUUCUUGCUCUCACGAUGAGAUGGGCCCGCGGCGCAUUAGCUAGUUGGAGAGGUAACGGCUCCCCAAGGCGACGAUGCGUAGCCGAACUGAGAGGGUGUUCGGCCAAACGUGGGAUGAGCCACGGCCCAGGCGUCUAGGGGAGGCAGGAGUAGGGAAGCUUCCGGAAUGGACGAAAGUCUGACGGAGCCACGCCGCGUGAGUGAUGAAGGGUUUCGGCUCGUAAAGCUCUGUUAUGAGGGAAGAACACGUACCGUUCGAAUAGGGCGGCACCUUGACGGUACCUCAUCAGAAAGCCACGGCUAACUACGUGCCAGCCGCCGCCGUAA
rnacentral:rRNA from 1 species